GACGAACGCUGGCGGCGUGCUUAACACAUGCAAGUCGAACGGAAAGGCCCUGCUUUUGUGGGGUGCUCGAGUGGCGAACGGGUGAGUAACACGUGAGUAACCUGCCCUUGACUUUGGGAUAACUUCAGGAAACUGGGGCUAAUACCGGAUAGGAGCUCCUGCUGCAUGGUGGGGGUUGGAAAGUUUCGGCGGUUGGGGAUGGACUCGCGGCUUAUCAGCUUGUUGGUGGGGUAGUGGCUUACCAAGGCUUUGACGGGUAGCCGGCCUGAGAGGGUGACCGGCCACAUUGGGACUGAGAGACGGCCCAGACUCCUACGUGAGGCAGCAGUGGGGAAUAUUGCACAAUGGGCGGAAGCCUGAUGCAGCAACGCCGCGGGCGGGAUGACGGCCUUCGGGUUGUAAACCGCGUUCGCCUGUGACGAAGCGUGAGUGACGGUAAUGGGUAAAGAAGCACCGGCUAACUACGUG
rnacentral:rRNA from 1 species